CGGGACGGGUGAGUAAUGUCUGGGAAACUGCCUGAUGGAGGGGGAUAACUACUGGAAACGGUAGCUAAUACCGCAUAACGUCGCAAGACCAAAGAGGGGGACCUUCGGGCCUCUUGCCAUCGGAUGUGCCCAGAUGGGAUUAGCUAGUAGGUGGGGUAAAGGCUCACCUAGGCGACGAUCCCUAGCUGGUCUGAGAGGAUGACCAGCCACACUGGAACUGAGACAUGGUCCAG
rnacentral:rRNA from 1 species